rnacentral:rRNA from 1 species
AGAACGAACGCUGGCGGCACGCCUAACACAUGCAAGUCGAGCGCCCAGCAAUGGGAGCGGCGGACGGGUGAGGAACACGUGGGAACAUGCCUUUCGGUUCGGCACAACUGCGGGAAACUGCAGCUAAUUCCGGAUACGCCCUUACGGGGAAAGAUUUAUCGCCGAAAGAUUGGCCCGCGUCUGAUUAGCUAGUUGGUGAGGUAAUGGCUCACCAAGGCUUCGAUCAGUAGCUGGUUUGAGAGAACGACCAGCCACACUGGGACUGAGACACGGCCCAGACUCCUACGGGAGGCAGCAGUGGGGAAUCUUGGACAAUGGAGGAAACUCUGAUCCAGCGAUGCCGCGUGAGUGAUGAAGGCCUUCGGGUUGUAAAACUCUUUUACCAGGUAAGAUAAUGACUGUACCUGGAGAAUAAGCCCCGGCUAACUUCGUGCCAGCAGCCGC